rnacentral:rRNA from 1 species
UACGUAGGGGGCAAGCGUUGUCCGGAUUUAUUGGGCGUAAAGAGCGUGUAGGCGGCCAGGUAGGUCCGCUGUGAAAACUCGAGGCUCAACCUCGAGAUGUCGGCGGAAACCAUCUGGCUAGAGUCCGGAAGAGGAGAGUGGAAUUCCUGGUGUAGCGGUGAAAUGCGCAGAUAUCAGGAAGAACACCCGUGGCGAAGGCGGCUCUCUGGGACGGUACUGACGCUGAACGGCGAAAGCUAGGGGAGCAAACGGG